UCCGGUUGAUCCUGCCGGAGGCUAUUGCUAUCGGGAUCCGAUUCAGGCAUGCUAGUCGUACGAGUUCAUACUCGUGGCGUAUAGCUCAGUAACACGUGGUCAAACUACCCUCUGGACUGAGAUACCCUCGGGAAACUGAGGUCAAUCUCGGAUACUGCUUUCACGUUGGAACAACGGAAAGCUGGAAACGGUCCGCCGCCGGAGGACGUGACUGCGGCUGAUUAGGUAGACGGUGGGGUAACGGCCCACCGUGCCAAUAAUCAGUACGGGUUGUGAGAGCAAGAGCCCGGAGACGGAAUCUGAGACAAGAUUCCGGGCCCUACGGGGCGCAGCAGCCGCGAAACCUUUACACUGCACGACAGUGCGAUAAGGGGAUCCCGAGUGCGAGGGCAUACAGUCCUCGCUUUUCGUGACCGUAAGGUGGUCACAGAAUAAGGGCUGGGCAAGACCGGUGCCAGCCGCCGCGGUAAUACCGGCAGCCCGAGUGAUAGCCAAUUUUAUUGGGCCUAAAGCGUCCGUAGCUGGCCGAACAGGUCCGUCGGGAAAUCCACCCGCUUAACGGGUGGGCGUCCGGCGGAAACCAGUCGGCUUGGGGCCGGGAGACCAGAGGGGUACGUCCGGGGUAGGAGUGAAAUCCCGUAAUCCUGGACGGACCACCGGUUGCGAAAGCGCCUCUGGAGAACGGACCCGACAGUGAGGGACGAAAGCUAGGGUCUCGAACCGGAUUAGAUACCCGGGUAGUCCUAGCCGUAAACGAUGCUCGCUAGGUGUGACGCAGGCUACGAGCCUGCGUUGCGCCGUAGGGAAGCCGAGAAGCGAGCCGCCUGGGAAGUACGUCCGCAAGGAUGAAACUUAAAGGAAUUGGCGGGGGAGCACUACAACCGGAGGAGCCUGCGGUUUAAUUGGACUCAACGCCGGACAUCUCACCGGCACCGACAACGUGCAGUGACGGUCAGUUUGAUGAGCUUACCUGAGCCGUUGAGAGGAGGUGCAUGGCCGCCGUCAGCUCGUACCGUGAGGCGUCCUGUUAAGUCAGGCAACGAGCGAGACCCGCGUCCAUAAUUGCCAGCAGCACCCUUGUGGUGGCUGGGUACAUUAUGGAGACUGCCGUCGCUAAGACGGAGGAAGGAACGGGCA
rnacentral:rRNA from 2 species